rnacentral:rRNA from 1 species
UACGGAGGGUGCGAGCGUUGUCCGGAAUCACUGGGCGUAAAGGGCGCGUAGGCGGCCUGAUAAGUAGGGGGUGAAAUCCUGCGGCUUAACCGCAGGGCUGCCUUCUAAACUGUCAGGCUCGAGCACAGUAGAGGCAGGUGGAAUUCCCGGUGUAGCGGUGGAAUGCGUAGAGAUCGGGAAGAACAUCAGUGGCGAAGGCGGCCUGCUGGGCUGUUGCUGACGCUGAGGCGCGACAGCGU